UACGGGGGGUGCGAGCGUUGUCCGGAAUCACUGGGCGUAAAGGGCGUGUAGGCGGUCAGGUAAGUGGAAUGUGAAAUCCCUCGGCUCACCCGAGGACCUGCAUCCCAAACUGCCUGGCUUGAGUAUGGGAGAGGAUGAGGGAAUUCCUGGUGUAGCGGUGAAAUGCGUAGAUAUCAGGAGGAACACCGGUGGCGAAGGCGGGUCUCUGGGCCGUAACUGACGCUGAGGAGCGAAAGCAUGGGGAACGAACAGG
rnacentral:rRNA from 1 species